rnacentral:piRNA from 1 species
UGUCUUCCAAGCGACGGUGUUCAGAA